GAGUUUGAUCAUGGCUCAGAGCGAACGUUAGCGGCGCGCCUAACACAUGCAAGUCGAACGUGAUUAGAGAGCUUGCUCUCUAUGAAAGUAGCGCACGGGUGAGUAACGCGUAGAUAAUCUACCUGAUGAUCCGGGAUAACACUUCGAAAGGGGUGCUAAUACCAGAUAAGCCCACGGAGUCCUUGGACUCUGCGGGAAAAGGGGGGACCUUUAGGCCUUCCGUCAUCAGAUGAGUCUGCGUACCAUUAGCUAGUUGGUAGGGUAAAGGCCUACCAAGGCGACGAUGGUUAGCUGGUCUGAGAGGAUGAUCAGCCACACUGGAACUGAGACACGGUCCAGACUCCUACGGGAGGCAGCAGUGGGGAAUUUUGCGCAAUGGGGGAAACCCUGACGCAGCAACGCCGCGUGAGUGAUGAAGGCCCUUGGAUCGUAAAGCUCUGACAGAGGGAAAGAAAUGCAGAGGGGCUAA
rnacentral:rRNA from 2 species